rnacentral:misc_RNA from 1 species
AACUUUUAGCAAUGGAUCUCUUGCCGCAUCGAGCAAUCCCUUUUGAUACCACGCCUGAUAAUUCUGCGGGUUGCUUUGCAGCGCUUUAUCGAGCCACCGAUUUGCCUCGUCCCCGCGCCCCAACUUCGCCAGAGCCCUUGCCAGCGCGGUCAUGGCAUUGUCGAAGUUCGGAUUCAAUUCGAGGCACCGUUGUAGUUCUUUAGCCGCCUUCUCCCACGCCUCGCGGCGCAGCGCCAGUUCACCCAGCAGAUAAGGAAUUACAUAAAUCUGUGGAUCCUUUUGCUGCACUUCGAGGAGCAAGGCUUCACCCUGACUGUCGUCCUUGCGUUGAAAAGCAUCCUCGGCCCGCAGGAUCGCAUUGAAUUCCCAUAGCUUAUCCUUUGGAUCGGCGAGCCCCUGCUUAAGCAUAUCAAUAAGCGGAGGCU